GACGAGCGCUGGCGGCGUGCCUAAUACAUGCAAGUCGAACGCUUCUUUCCUCCCGAGUGCUUGCACUCAAUUGGAAAGAGGAGUGGCGGACGGGUGAGUAACACGUGGGUAACCUACCCAUCAGAGGGGGAUAACACUUGGAAACAGGUGCUAAUACCGCAUAACAGUUUAUGCCGCAUGGCAUAAGAGUGAAAGGCGCUUUCGGGUGUCGCUGAUGGAUGGACCCGCGGUGCAUUAGCUAGUUGGUGAGGUAACGGCUCACCAAGGCCACGAUGCAUAGCCGACCUGAGAGGGUGAUCGGCCACACUGGGACUGAGACACGGCCCAGACUCCUACGGGAGGCAGCAGUAGGGAAUCUUCGGCAAUGGACGAAAGUCUGACCGAGCAACGCCGCGUGAGUGAAGAAGGUUUUCGGAUCGUAAAACUCUGUUGUUAGAGAAGAACAAGGACGUUAGUAACUGAACGUCCCCUGACGGUAUCUAACCAGAAAGCCACGGCUAACUACGUGCCAGCAGCCGCGGUAAUACGUAGGUGGCAAGCGUUGUCCGGAUUUAUUGGGCGUAAAGCGAGCGCAGGCGGUUUCUUAAGUCUGAUGUGAAAGCCCCCGGCUCAACCGGGGAGGGUCAUUGGAAACUGGGAGACUUGAGUGCAGAAGAGGAGAGUGGAAUUCCAUGUGUAGCGGUGAAAUGCGUAGAUAUAUGGAGGAACACCAGUGGCGAAGGCGGCUCUCUGGUCUGUAACUGACGCUGAGGCUCGAAAGCGUGGGGAGCAAACAGGAUUAGAUACCCUGGUAGUCCACGCCGUAAACGAUGAGUGCUAAGUGUUGGAGGGUUUCCGCCCUUCAGUGCUGCAGCAAACGCAUUAAGCACUCCGCCUGGGGAGUACGACCGCAAGGUUGAAACUCAAAGGAAUUGACGGGGGCCCGCACAAGCGGUGGAGCAUGUGGUUUAAUCCGAAGCAACGCGAAGAACCUUACCAGGUCUUGACAUCCUUUGACCACUCUAGAGAUAGAGCUUUCCCUUCGGGGACAAAGUGACAGGUGGUGCAUGGUUGUCGUCAGCUCGUGUCGUGAGAUGUUGGGUUAAGUCCCGCAACGAGCGCAACCCUUAUUGUUAGUUGCCAUCAUUUAGUUGGGCACUCUAGCGAGACUGCCGGUGACAAACCGGAGGAAGGUGGGGAUGACGUCAAAUCAUCAUGCCCCUUAUGACCUGGGCUACACACGUGCUACAAUGGGAAGUACAACGAGUCGCUAGACCGCGAGGUCAUGCAAAUCUCUUAAAGCUUCUCUCAGUUCGGAUUGCAGGCUGCAACUCGCCUGCAUGAAGCCGGAAUCGCUAGUAAUCGCGGAUCAGCACGCCGCGGUGAAUACGUUCCCGGGCCUUGUACACACCGCCCGUCACACCACGAGAGUUUGUAACACCCGAAGUCGGUGAGGUAACCUUUUUGGAGCCAGCCGCCUAAGGUGGGAUAGAUGAUUGGGGUG
rnacentral:rRNA from 1 species